CGCGGGGUAGAGCAGCGGUAGCUCGUUGGGCUCAUAACCCAAAGGUCGCUGGUUCAAAUCCAGCCCCCGCUA
rnacentral:tRNA from 1 species